AAUAUUGGACAAUGGGGGCAACCCUGAUCCAGCGAUGCCGCGUGUGUGAAGAAGGUCUUCGGAUUGUAAAGCACUGUAAGUUGGGAGGAAGGGCUUUAGGCUAAUACCCUGAAGUUUUGACGUUUCCAACAGAAUAAGCACCGGAGACCUCUGUUCCAGAAGCCGCGGUAAUACAGAGGGGGCAAGCGGUAAUCGGAAUUACUGGGCGUAAAGCGCACGUAGGUGGUUCAGUAAGAUGGGUGUGAAAUCCCCGGGCUUAACCUGGGAACUGCUUUCAUAACUGCUGAGCUAGAGUACGGUAGAGGGUAGUGGAAUUUCCUGUGUAGCGGUGAAAUGCGUAGAUAUAGGAAGGAACACCAGUGGCGAAGGCGACUACCUGGACUGAUACUGACACUGAGGUGCGAAAGCGUGGGGAGCAAACA
rnacentral:rRNA from 1 species